CAGUAGCCGCGGUAAUACGUAGGGUGCGAGCGUUAAUCGGAAUUACUGGGCGUAAAGCGCGCGCAGGCGGAUCGGUCAGUCUGUCUUAAAAGUUCGGGGCUUAACCCCGUGAUGGGAUGGAAACUGCCAAUCUAGAGUAUCGGAGAGGAAAGUGGAAUUCCUAGUGUAGCGGUGAAAUGCGUAGAUAUUAGGAAGAACACCAGUGGCGAAGGCGACUUUCUGGACGAAAACUGACGCUGAGGCGCGAAAGCCAGGGGAGCGAACGGGAUUAGAUACCCCAGUAGUCCCUGUCUCUUAUACA
rnacentral:rRNA from 1 species